ensembl:lncRNA
GUAGGAGCCCAAAUUCAAGGCCUGUCUGGAAUACAGUGAGUUCAAGGGCAGCCCAGGCAACUUAGUGAGACCUUGUCUAGAAAUAUGGACAUAGCUCAGAGGUACAGCCCCUGCCUAGACUCCCCCAAUGAGGGCCUGUGGGCGUGGCUUAGUGGUGGAGGCCCUGCCCAGAACUCCACCCCCCAGCCCCCAGAGCUGGGGAUAUGGUUCCAUCAGAGUGUUUGCCUCUAAUAUGUGAGGCAUUGAUUGAACUAUUGGGGGGGGGGGGACCUGUCAAAUAUAAUUAAAACACGGGUAUGUGAAUUGGGUCCUCAAUCUAUCAAGUAUUUCCAAUUAGAUCUAUCACGUGACCUGAGGUGUGCUCAGGUGUAAGGAACGCAUCUGUUCUGGUGACUCGGUGAUAAGUGUCAGGCUGACCUAAGAGCUUUAACAUCGAAGCCAGGUGCUGUGGUUUAGAGCCAUAACCCUGGCACUGGGGAGGCCGAGGCAGGGCCAAAGCUGGUCAAGCAUGGAGAAGGACUUAGUAUCAGGCUGGCUGGAGAUGGGCUGAACAGGGAAUGAGAAGAUUCAGGGCCAGACCAUGUGGAGUUCAAGGUCCAUCUAGACUCUGAUGGGAUCAGGCAUGAAGCUUAUGGGCCUGCAAUUCUCUAUGUCACCGAAGACAGCCUUACAUUUCAAAUUCUCCUGUGUCAACCUGAGGCGCGGGGAUUACAGGCAUGAACAGCCAAAUCCGGUGCCCCCUUUCAUAGGGUGAAUGGUGUCAGAGGUGAGAAUUCAAGGUUAGAUGGGGUAAAGCCCAGCUAUGCAACCUCCAAUCACUAGCCCUCAGAAACUCUUAUGGUUCUAGUCCAGUCCUUUCAUCUACCAGGUGAAAAUAUACGGCACUUGCUCAUGAGGUGACAGGGGCCAAGCUCUCCUGCUUCGGUUUGCUCUCCCACCAGGGGCUCGCUUCUCCCUAGCUUGUCCCUUUUUUGUAACAAGGUUACUGACAACCUGAAUUCCAGGCCAUGUGCCAAUGAUCAAUAAACCAGGAUAAUAAAUACUAGGCACCUACCGUGUGUCAGGCACUGCUCUGGGUACUAGGGUACACCCAAGAGAAAGACAGGCAAGGAGCAAGAGCCAAUGAACAGGCAAAUAAAUGAAUGAGUGAAUAAAUAAAGCCAUUGAUAGCAAUGUUCGCUACAGGGACGAUCAAGUGGCCAGGAUCAAUGCAAGCUACUUUGGGUGAUCAUAGAGCCAUUUCGGGGAGACCUGACAAUGAGGACCCUACCUCAUAAAAGACGGAGAGGCAGAGUGUUCCAUAGAAAACCAUGCCUAAGUCCCGAGGCGGGACCUGAGCAUCAGAACAACAAAUCAGGCUUGCUGGAGAUGGGCUGGGAACCGAGAAUAGGCAGGGUCAGGCCACACACUGCCUCUCUGAACCGGGUGGGCCCAUCUGCCACGCCCUCCUGUUUUCAACACUGGGGAAUCAUACAUGGCUUCUCGCAUCUGUGCAAAGCUGAUGCGCAUGCGCACUGUGGUUUCUGCCUCUGCCUCCCUCCUGGCACUUUCCUCCAGCGUCAAUGGCCUACCCAGCUAUCCUGUGGGGGACCCCCACUCUCAGCAGCAUCCUGUGUGGACCAGCAGCACGUAUCUUGGAGAAAUCGAUCAGAGGUCGUCAUGCAGAAAACCAUAGGCUGCCACAGUAGGACUCUUGCCUUUCCGGAUGAGCAGGAGGUCCAACGGUUAAGGUCCAUAUGGCAGAAAAAACCAGUAAUAAACAGGAGCACACAUGCCGGAGACCCUGAAUCACCCAGCACCUAUAAAAUGGGGGUAGUCACACCCUUUUCCAGUAAAGCCACGAUCCCAGUUCAUCAGAGGCUCAAGGGAGGUAUUUCCAAGUGUGGGUUGCUAUUUUUCCAUACCCUAUAGGCCCCAUUCUUAGGCUCUGACCAUCGGAAGACUACCUUACCCAGACCCUCCCUGUCCCUUCUCUUCAAUUUUGUGGGACAGUAUUCUCUACACCAAAGCCUUGAAGAGCAAAUGACAAUCUUCCACACUCCAGAUCAAAGGGUCUCCAGCAGGCCCCUGGUCUCCCACAGGCUUCCCACCACCCAAGAAAUGACAACCAAUCUCUAGAGCCUUCUUAGGAACCAGACUUUUUCUAAGACUCUCACAGCUCCGGCAAAUCUGUUCUUUCAUCGGACAACUUACGUCUCGUUUCCCUUUGGGACCCAGCGCUCCAAGGAUUCUAACUCCCUGAAGCACCCGGUCCAUAGUCAUAGGUUCACUCAUAGGAAGGCAGGAAUCAAGGCUUCUAGAGAUUGAGGACCAGGUGUCAGCUGGACGCCAAAAGGCUCCCAUUUCUAUGAGUCCCAGGCCCUCAAUUCCCUUUACUGCAUUGGUAUCUGGCUGACACACUUCUGGCGCAUAGACCUUACUCCCAUUCAGAGCCACGGAAAUCGGGUGACUGUAGGUCUCGGAUUUCAACGAGAUGCCAGUCUCCUUCAAGUCUCCGGAUUUGAGUAACACAACUUCACUCCUUAAUCUCAGAGGCUAUGGGGCUACGAACCAAGUCACCAGUUGCCCCAAGCCCCACCGCGCGCCUUACUGAUUGUGCUCUGGGG